rnacentral:lncRNA from 1 species
CUUUUUUUUAGGGCCACACCCAAAGCACAUGGAGAGUCCCAGGCUAGUGGUCUAAUCAGAGCUGUAGCCACCAGCCUGUACCACAGCCACAGCAAUGCAGGAUCCAAGCCGCAUCUGCGACCUACACCACAGCUCACAGUAACGCCGGAUCCUUAACCCGUUGAGUGAGGCCAGGGAUCGAAUCUGCAACCUCAUGGUUCCUAGUCAGAUUUGCUUCUACUGCACCAUGGCGGGAACUCCUGUUUGUUUAAUUCUUACUUUUAUAAAAGAAAACUUACUGGAUUUUUAUCUACAUGAAAGUAAUAUAUGAUCAUCACAGACAGUGGAAAAGAUCAAACAGACACACAAAAAAAUCACUGCAUCACAUUAUAAAAGAAUUGAACAUCCAAGUACUUGUGAUACUGGUCACCACUAUAUAUUAGCAUUUUUUGGUUUACCCUGAAAAUGAAGGCUUCUCUAAGUAAGGGGAAAGAUCACUGAAUACAUGCAGCCACAGUGGUUAAUGACUAUUUAACACAAAGAUUUUCCACUUGACAAUGUGUUGAUGUACAAUAGGAUAAACACCAAACACAGGUAUUCUUAAAACCAGGCUUUGGCCAAUAUGGUCCAUCCCUGAUCUUUGUCAGCUGUGCCAGUUUGAGUUUAGCCCAGGAGAAAUGUUUGCACAUCACUAAGGAAAGCCACGCUUUUCUGCCCAGACAUUUCCCCCCGAGAAACCCAUAAUGAUAACACGACGUAAAGCAAAAAAAUGGACGUGAUGAAUUCUGGAAAAAAAAUAAACAAAGUGUUCUUUUUAUUCUCUGCUCUGUUGGCUAAUGGGGGGCGGGGGGAAGUAGGGAAAGAUCACAGCAUGAAACUGUCAUCACAAAACAUUCCACUCUAGGGCAGGGAGGCAGCUCUCCACUUGCUAUCAUCAAGCCAUGGGGCGCAUCAUCUUCACGGUGAAAAGAACCCCCUCCCCCGUCCCCCCAAACAGAAUGUUGCUGUUUAGUCAACAGUGACAAAAAACUAAACUCUCUGAUUCUCAACAUUUAAUACUUUUGGCUGAUAUGCCUUAUUUGUUCAGCUUUUCUCAAAAUGUGCUAAGACAGGCCAGUUGCUUAUGUUGAACCAGGUACUGCCAUCAGCUACCAGGGUGGUCCUUUUCAAAUUUCAACGUGCAAAGGAAUUGCUGGGGUGGGGGGUGUCUGUUAAGACGCAGACUCUGAUUCAGAAGCUCUGGGCUGGGGCCUGAGACUCUGCAUUUCUAGUAGGGUCUCUGGUGAUGUGGAUGCCUCUGUGGACCACGAUUUGAGUAUACAGUGGUAGCAUACUGAUUAGCCUCCCUCUUUUCCCUAUCCCCACAAUUCCCUUUCUAAGUGCCACUGACAGAGUCUGAAACAACUGCAUUUGACAGUUUUCUAUUAAAAAUAAGGAUGUGCCCUGCAUGGGUAGGAUAAUUACAUCACAGGCUCUUCUGGAGCAUCCUUAGAUAACUGAUUAGAUCUGAAACCAUGUCAGGUUCUCCUUUUAUUCUCCCUUUCCUUUGCUCAUCCUCUCCCCACAUAGAAGAAUGGGCCCCACACAGCACUGUGGCGAGAGAUAACUCCCAGCUUCAGCAUUAGGCGAGGGUGUGAAGGAACCAAAAUUACUGAGCCUUUUCCAUCUCAUACUUUCUUGUGAACAGAUUCAUCCACAGACAGCCAUGGCACUGGCUGGGAAAGUACACGUUUUGUAAUAAGGGGUAAGAGUGGGUGACGAAUGACUGCUUACGAGAACUGACAUCACCCGCUUCCACCAACAACCAGCCUUAGAAAUGAGCCCUCGAGAAUCUCUCUAGCACCUAUGCCCUGCACACUCAGACAGAGGGUCUCAUAUUACACACAUGGCCAAAUCUCUCAUUCAGAACCUCAUAUUUUCUGCCUUUUUUUUUUUUUUUAGGGCUGCAUAUGGAAGUUCCCAGGCUAGGGGUCGAGUCAGAGCUGCAGCUGCUGUCCUAUACCACAGCCACAGCAACGCCAGAUCCAAGCCAUGUCUGCGACCUACACCGCACCUCGUGGCAACGCCGGAUCCUUAACCCAUUGAGCGAGGCCAGGGAUUGGACCUGCAACCUCAUGGCUACUACUCAGGAUUGUUACCUCAAAGCCACAGUGGGAACUACUAGAACCUGAUAUUUUCUAAUUACAGACAAUUCAUAUGAAAACGUAACCUGAGCUUUAGAGUGCCUUUUUCAACCCUUAACUUCUGAGCUAUUUAUUUUAGUUCAGGCCUGCAGCUUUAGCUCCAAUUAGACCCCUGGCAUGGGAACCUCCAUGUGCCAUGUGUGCGGCCCUAAAACAAAAAGACAAAAUAAAUUAAAUAAAUAAACGCAGAGGAGAUGCUGGACUGUUACCCCUGAUUUGCUUCCCACCCUCUGUGAUCCUAUAAAACCACAGAGGGAGGAACAUGGCAGAAAGGAGGCUAAAAGAAGAGGAUACAGCAGCAGUAGCUGCUCUGAAGAUUUGGGAGCUCCGUCUAGAUCACAAUCACAUGCAGAAUUUAAAAGGACCAACUGGAAUUCUCAUUGGGCUACAUUAAAGAAACAAACUACUAACCAAAACCUACCAAGAAGGACAAAUAAAGGCAUACACAAUUUGGGGCAAGAUUUAAAGAAGCAAAAUACCACUCACAUAUAAUAAAGGCAGGUGGCAAAGAGCAGGCAGGCCCACUCUGCUCCUCCUGCGGCUUGAACCCAAAGGCAAAGCAGAAAAGGAGACAGUCUUGGCACAAUACAAGGACACACCUUCUAACAGACUUCUCAGCCACAGCACUUCUUCUUUUUUUGCAAAGCAGUGACUCCCAUCACUCCUGAGACAGCCUUAGCCUGCUACCCUGCUCUUCCCCAGCACCAAACAUCGUGCUAUGCCAGGCUGCACGCCACUCCCUGAACGUAGUUUCAUGACUCUCAUGCAUCAGAAGUACCGUAUCUGGAAAGCUUUUUCAUUGCUAGGCCACCACUUCAGACUUGAAAUCUCAGCUUCCACACAAUCUCCUCUGUGAAUCCUAGGCUGUCUCACAUCCUCUCAACAGGUCAAGAGCCUGCUCCUCAUCCAAUAACUUCGCAUACCUCUUCCCUGCACAACCUCACUCUGGUACAUACUUUUAGACUGGGGGGCCUUUGAGGGCAAAAUUACAGGUACUCAUCUGUGUACCUGCAAUGCCUCCUAUAGAGACCUGGCCUCAGAACACAUCAGCUGAAAAGUAAAGGAAGGAAGGAAGUGAAGAGAAGGUGAUGCCGAAACUGUCAUCUCUCAGGCACCCUGCAGAGGGAAUGCUGGCGCUGGGAGGGAAGCUAGUCUGAAUGAACCUGUUCUACGCAGAAAGACAUGAAUUACUGGGGCAUCCGUUAAGGUUUACCAUUUUAUACAUGAUCUAAUUUUUGUUAACAGCUGUUUAGAAAUAGUCCCAAUAUUUUGUUUUUAUUUAUGUAUCUAAAUACACACAUUUACACAUGUGCUACUCAGUAAUAUAAAUACUUUUCCCCAAAGUUUUCACAUUAAAAUUUUUUUUUCAUAAUUACCGGGAAGCCUGCCGAAAAUGUGGCCAUGGCAUUUCCUUCAAAUGUGGGAGAUGUGUAUCACUAAAGCAAGUACCAGGCUACUGCCGACAAAACACCCCAGCAACACUUUGUAAGCCGUCAGGUUAGAACUCUGUAAACCAGAAGGAGAACUGUGUCUUCACACCUUUCCCAAUUCACGCGAACCUUUGCCACUCGUUCUCUCGUUCCUAAGAAUCUACACCCAAGUUAAUCUGCUCUUUACUUCACCCCUCUAAUCCUCUAAACAUGACAAGUAUGUGCUCCGCGGCCACUCACGUGAAGGGCCGUUCUGAUUGGGGCGUCUCGGGGGAGUGACAGGCAGGUGCCUACAUCUGGGAACUACAGAAACAAUCGUAAUUACUAUUUGGGAGAAUUUCUAUACACCACACCAGCACCCUUCCCAAAGAGCAGAUGACAACAGGUGAACCCAAACCUGAGGCCAGAAAACUGUCCCACAGACCUGGCUCUGCAGGAGCUCCGACUUGCUCUCUCUCCUUUGUGCCCUCUCCCACGCAUACGACGACAGACACAUUCCCACCCCUGCCUCCUCAACAGCCCACUUCCUUCAGGCCCACUUUCUUUCCCGUGCUGCUGCCCUGGGUGGCAACAGAACGGUCUGGGCUCUGUGGGCACCAACCUGGCCAAUUCCAGAGGCUAAGGGGUGAGGCUGACACAGAGGCCCAGCCUCCUCGCAGUGGGUGGCAGGGGAUGUGCAUAUGAACUGCUGCCCAUUUCCUUUUAUAAAGGGAAGCAUAGUAGACUGUCCCAAAAUGAGAACCUAAGAGUCUAGGAAUGAAUGAAGGUCGUUAUUGCACUUCAGGGGACUUAAAAAAAAAGACAGCUUUGAGAUAACAUCAUUUCAAAGGACUUAGCUGACAUUUUCUGGCCUAACAUCAAGUCAUACAGUCGAUAAACUUAUAUUAGCAUAUCUUUUCACCAAAAAAUGCUACAUCUAUAAAAUAGAAGAGGGCAGGAUGGUACAGCAAACUGGCCAGAUGCAGCUUUUUGUCAUACUGAUUUCCUUCUACCCAACAGGUUUCGCCAUGGAAAUAAGAGGUGGUCUGGGCUGACUGACAGAGGACACGGAUCUGCUUCAACGUGAAAAUGCGCACGCAGAGCCCUGAGCACAGCACUACCCGUCCAGGCUGGUUAUCGCAGGAGAGACCAGAGAACAAGCCGACAAACAGGAUGUCUUGAUUUGAGGCUGUUUGUCCAUAGGGUUUAAUUGUCAAAACAAAAAUUCUACUUUUCAUUUUGUCAGUUCUUCCCUUAUUUGAGCAAACCAGAGGAGAAAUAAAUGGCAAAAUUUAAAGUGGGUUUUUGCUGCCUCCCCCUAAUUCCUCAGCUGGCCAAAAAGAAGGAUGCCUCUUUAAGGAAGACCCACCUGCAUCCUGAUUGAAGGGCAAAGGCCUCCCAAAGAUCAGUCCCCCCAUCUUGAGGCCUGGUCAGCUUGCUAGGAAGAAUUCUCCCAGUACCUAGUAUCCCCACCAUAAGCCUGGGUUCCGUAACCCAAGAAGGAAACAGAGGGAAAAGAGUGGUUACUGCGAGCUGGCUACAUCCCAUGCAAUUUUCGGUUCACCUUUAGAACAAGCCAAGGAAAUUUCACUUGGGCAAGGUGUGAGUAUGCAGGCUCAGAGAGGUUAAGUAACUUUCUAGGCUUUGCUCUCACAGAGAUUUCCGGGGGCCUGAGGCCUCUUCCCACCCCUUCCCAGACUGCCUCCCACAGGGCAGGCCCCAAUACAGGCCUGCUCUCAUGCUCAGAAAAAGAACACACCUGCUCCAUGACAGGACGUAACCAGGACAAUGGGAUUACAUGUUAAAUAGACUAAAAGGAAAAAUAUGAACCAAGCCAGGAACCAAUAACUAAAGGUCAUGCAGACCAGAGGUUCCAACGUGGCAUAUUUCACAGGAACAGGAAAACAAGCCCCUCUCUGCAGGACUGUGCUGAAGCCCCCUCACCAGUCUCCCCAGGAUGCAGACAGGAGAAAGCCUGCAGGAGUACCUGUGAGAGGCCCCAGUGCAAAGCCAGGGGGUCUCUCGCCCUGGUUACAAGAACCAACAGAAAAUUCCAGGGCACUUCCAGAGGGCCUUGCCGCAGACCCUGAAACCCGGGAUCCAUGCAGGGAGCCCUAAAGUUCAUCGUCUUACAUUGCACCUUGCCUUCUGGGCUUUUGGAGAAAUCUGCACAAGUGCAAUAUUAAGGAACAAAUAAAGCGCCCAAGUUUAGAGAACAAACAGGCAGGGAGGGGGGAAAUGGAAGUUCCCUGGAGUCGGGGAAAGAAAAAAGAAAAAGCAUUACAAAAAAAAAAAAAAUAACAAAAACACUUAUUUCUCUACAAUUGAGCAUGAAAAGAAAUGACCAGAAAGCACUGGGGAGCAUAGGGAGAAGGGUGACACUGGGGUCUCAAGCCAGAACAGAGCGUUCACAUAAGCCUGGGUGUGUGCUUUGCUUCCACUCCCGCCCACCCACGGUUCCUGGGGCAAACAAAUUCUUGGCUGAGCAGGUAUGUGUGGGAGGCCUGAGUUAUUUUCCAACCAUUAGAGCUUUGCCCAGAACUACUUAAUCAGAAUUUUUCAAGGUCAUACAUUCAAAUAUGAUGUUACUGCCAUACAAAACAAAUAACUCUAGGGUCUGUAGGGUAGGAGGUGGGGGAGUCUGAGGAGGGGAAAGAAGGAAUUAACCACUCUCACUUGAACUAUCUCCUUAUCCGCUCUUACUCUAGAU